GAAAUAUGAUUACAAAUAAAAGCUGCUAACUUUUUAUUUUAAUGAUUUAACCCAUUAAUAUUUCU
rnacentral:tRNA from 1 species